rnacentral:rRNA from 1 species
GAUGAACGCUCGCGGCAGGCCUAAUACAUGCAAGCCGAACGGCAAGUUUGAUAGCACUCUUGGACCUAGAGUGGCGCAAGGGUGCGUAACACGUAUGCAACCUGCCCGCGACAGGAGGAUAGCUCCCCGAAAGGGGAAUUAACCCUCCAUAACACCAUGAGAAGGCAUCUGAUUAUGGUUAAACCGCAAGGGGUCGCGGAUGGGCAUGCGGUUGAUUAGCUAGUUGGCGGGGUAAAGGCCCACCAAGGCGGUGAUCAAUAGGGGUUGUGGGAGGUCGGUCCCCCGAGCUUGAACUGCGAUACGGGCCAGACGCUUACGCGAGGCAGCAGUAGGGAGGAUUGGACAAGGGAUGCUAGACAGAGCCAGCAAGGCUGCGGGAAGGAAGAAGGCCUUCUGAGGCGGAAACUGCUUUUUCCUGUGGCUAAAACACCCGAGCGCGGGGAAUUGAAGGUAACAGGGGAAUAAGCCACGGCUAACUACGUG